CAAAAAAAUUACAAAAAUUAGUCGGGCGUGGUGGUAUGUGCCUGCGGCCCCAGAUAUUCAGGAGGCUGAGGCAGGAGGAUGGCUUGAACCUGGAAGGUGGAGGCUGCCAUGAUUUCAUCACUGCACUCUAGCCUGGGUGACAAGGGAGUUGCUGCUGGCGUGGAGUAAGCGGGAGCCAGGGAGGCUGGUCAACACCUGCGUGCACAGGACAGACCCACAGCAAAGAAUCUUCCACCCACGGGCUGGGGUUGGGGCACCUGUUCCGGGGAAGCCCAAGUCCCUCUGUGACAGCCUUUCCCUCAUGCUCAGACAACAGCAAGAAGCCAAUUAAGAGCUGCCAAGGUUGAGUUUCUUUUGGGUGCCAGUCACUGGGUCAGGUAUUCCACAUUCCUCCAUUAGACUCUUCCAAAGGGCCUGGCGAGACAGCCAAUACGGUUCGGCUGUGUCCCCACCCAAAUCCCAUCUUGAGUUGUAGCUCCCGUAAUUUCCCCAUGUUGUGGGAGGGACCCUGUGGGAGGUAAUUGAAUCACGGAGGUGGUUUCCCCCACACUGUUCUCGUGGUAGUGAAUAAAUCUCACGAGAUCUGAUGGUUUUAUCAGGGGAAACCCCCUUGGGCCUGACUCUCAUUCUGUCUCUUGUCUGCCACCACGUGAGAUGCGCCUUCUGCCUUCCGCCAUGAUUGUGAGGCCUCCCCAGACACGUGAAACUGUGAGUUUAUUAAACCUCUUUUUCUUUAUAAAUUAUCCAGACUCAGG
rnacentral:lncRNA from 1 species